rnacentral:rRNA from 1 species
UACAGAGGUCCCAAGCGUUGUUCGGAUUCACUGGGCGUAAAGGGUGCGUAGGCGGAUAUUUAAGUCAGGGGUGAAAUCCCGGGGCUCAACCCCGGAACUGCCUUUGAUACUGGGUAUCUGGAGGUCGAGAGAGGCGAGUGGAAUUCCGAGUGUAGAGGUGAAAUUCGUAGAUAUUCGGAGGAACACCAGUGGCGAAGGCGGCUCGCUGGCUCGAUACUGACGCUGAGGUGCGAAAGCGUGGGGAGCAAACAGG